rfam:Gossypium raimondii Chr08_contig_780, whole genome shotgun sequence.
UGUUAAAAUUUUAACCCAUUUGUACUGUUAAAAAUUAGCGUAGCUGACGGAAUAACUAAACUCGUAUUCAAUGUGUAUCUCAUAUUGACAUACAAAGACCAAUUUUUAACCAUAGAAAUAGAUUGAAUUUUAACA